rnacentral:rRNA from 1 species
GAUGAACGCUGGCGGCGUGCCUAAUACAUGCAAGUCGAGCGAACAGACGAGGAGCUUGCUCCUCUGACGUUAGCGGCGGACGGGUGAGUAACACGUGGAUAACCUACCUAUAAGACUGGGAUAACUUCGGGAAACCGGAGCUAAUACCGGAUAAUAUAUUGAACCGCAUGGUUCAAUAGUGAAAGACGGUUUUGCUGUCGCUUAUAGAUGGAUCCGCGCCGCAUUAGCUAGUUGGUAAGGUAACGGCUUAGCAAGGCAACGAUGCGUAGCCGACCUGAGAGGGUGAUCGGCCACACUGGAACUGAGACACGGUCCAGACUCCUACGGGAGGCAGCAGUAGGGAAUCUUACGCAAUGGGCGAAAGCCUGACGGAGCAACGCCGCGUGAGUGAUGAAGGUCUUCGGAUCGUAAAACUCUGUUAUUAGGGAAGAACAAAUGUGUAAGUAACUAUGCACGUAUUGACGGUACCUAAUCAGAAAGCCCCGGCUAACUACGUG